rnacentral:rRNA from 1 species
CCCAGAGAAAUUUGGAUUAAUACCGCAUAGUAUACAGAUUCAGCAUUGGGACUGUAUUAAACAUUUAUGGGUAAGAGAUGGGCAUGCGUUCUAUUAGUUAGUUGGAGUGGUAACGGCACCCCAAGACAGCGAUAGAUAGGGGCCCUGAGAGGGGGAUCCCCCACACUGGUACUGAGACACUGACCAGACUCCUACGGGAGGCAGCAGUGAGGAAUAUUGGACAAUGGGCGAGAGCCUGAUCCAGCCAUGCCGCGUGCAGGAAGACGGCCCUAUGGGUUGUAAACUGCUUUUGUACGGGAAGAAACACCCCCUCGUGAGGGGGCUUGACGGGUACCGUAAGAAUAAGGGUCGGCUAACUCCGUG